rnacentral:rRNA from 1 species
UACGUAGGGUGCGAGCGUUAAUCGGAAUUACUGGGCGUAAAGCGUGCGCAGGCGGUUUUGUAAGCCAGAUGUGAAAUCCCCGGGCUUAACCUGGGAAUGGCAUUUGGGACUGCAAGGCUUGAGUUUGGCAGAGGAGACUGGAAUUCCUGGUGUAGCAGUGAAAUGCGUAGAUAUCAGGAGGAACACCGGUGGCGAAGGCGGGUCUCUGGGCAAUUCCUGACGCUGAGGCGCGAAAGCGUGGGGAGCAAACGGG